UGGGGAAUAUUGCACAAUGGGCGAAAGCCUGAUGCAGCGACGCCGCGUGAGGGAUGACGGCCUUCGGGUUGUAAACCUCUUUCAGCAGGGAAGAAGCGAAAGUGACGGUACCUGCAGAAGAAGCGCCGGCUAACUACGUGCCAGCAGCCGCGGUAAUACGUAGGGCGCAAGCGUUGUCCGGAAUUAUUGGGCGUAAAGAGCUCGUAGGCGGUUAGUCGCGUCUGCUGUGAAAACUCGAGGCUCAACCUCGGGCUUGCAGUGGGUACGGGCUGACUAGAGUGCGGUAGGGGUGACUGGAAUUCCUGGUGUAGCGGUGGAAUGCGCAGAUAUCAGGAGGAACACCGAUGGCGAAGGCAGGUCACUGGGCCGCAACUGACGCUGAGGAGCGAAAGCAUGGGGAGCGAACAGGAUUAGAUACCCUGGUAGUCCAUGCCGUAAACGUUGGGCACUAGGUGUGGGUCCAUUCCACGGAUUCCGUGCCGCAGCAAAGCGCAUUAAGUGCCCCGCCUGGGGAGUACGGCCGCAAGGCUAAAACUUAAAGGAAUUGACGGGGUCAUAGCUGUUUCCU
rnacentral:rRNA from 1 species